rnacentral:rRNA from 1 species
UUCGGUGGUCAUAGCGUGAGGGAAACGCCCGGUCACAUUCCGAACCCGGAAGCUAAGCCUCACCGCGCCGAUGGUACUGCAGGGGGGACCCUGUGGGAGAGUAGGACACCGCCGAAC